rnacentral:rRNA from 1 species
GAUUCAUGAUAACUCCUCGAAUCGCAUGGCCUUGUGCCGGCGAUGGUUCAUUCAAAUUUCUUCCCUAUCAACUUUCGAUGUUUGGGUAUUGGCCAAACAUGGUUGCAACGGGUAACGGAGGGUUAGGGCUCGACCCCGGAGAAGGAGCCUGAGAAACGGCUACUACAUCCAAGGAAGGCAGCAGGCGCGCAAAUUACCCAAUCCCGACACGGGGAGGUAGUGACAAUAAAUACUGAUACAGGGCUCUUUUGGGUCUUGUAAUUGGAAUGAGUACAAUUUAAAUCCCUUAACGAGGAACAAUUGGAGGGCAAGUCUGGUGCCAGCAGCCGCGGUAAUUCCAGCUCCAAUAGCGUAUAUUAAAGUUGUUGUGGUUAAAAAGCUCGUAGUUGAACCUUGGGCCUGGCUGGCCGGUCCGCCUCACCGCGUGUACUGGUCCGGCCGGGCCUUUACUUCUGGAGAACCUCAUGCCCUUCACUGGGUGUGUUGGGGAACCAGGACUUUUAC